rnacentral:rRNA from 2 species
UCCGACCUCAGAUCGG